GGGACCCAUUGGGGACACUGAGAAGGGGGCUUAUCUUUGGGAGCCUUCUAGUGGAAGAGGAUUAGAUAGGAUUCCGGUUGAGAACAACACGCUCAAGCCAUACAUAGAAGGAAACUUGGGGACCUAAAAGCAGAGGAUUGUGGCAUAUGUCCAAACACAGGCAGAUGCAGCUGGUCUCUUUCAGUACCAGCUCUUGUCCUGUACUGCAUUGUACUAGCUCUGACUUCUCUGGGCUCCAGGGGUAUGAACCUCUGCAUGUGUGUGUACACAUCUGCACACUUAUAUGUAUGUGUGUUCACACUUGCCAUCCUUCUUGCUUACUAAGGUUCUCUCCUGCUUACAUUGUCCAGUGUGACAGUGUGGUGUGAACCCCAGAUACUGCCCGACUUAGCCUUUAGCUUUUAAACUCGGAUUUUAGCCAUCCUGUCCUGGUCAGAUCUUACUGCAGUCUACCUAAAGCUGACUGGCUCAAGCCUCCAGGUCCCUGUCUUUCCCUGUCCAGGUCACAUCCCCUGCUCCUGCUGAGCUUCCUGGCUGAGUAGAUGAAAUGGGGUCAGACUUAGGCAGCUAACUCAGUACCUUUCAUCCACCUCAGGGCAAGGGGAAAUGUCCUCUUGCCUCUUAGAGCCAGUGCCUCUGCCAGACCCAACAAAGUGUCGCAUGUCAGCUGGAGCAGAACUGGUAGAGCUUGGAGAUAGGAUUUACUUUCCUGUUGGUAGCUAUUUAUGGGAACCCUCCUCGGGGCUGCAGCUUAUCGCUGGGCAGCUCAACGUUACACAACACAGAGCCACCAUUCACAUCUGUUAAGAGGGAAUGGGGCCCUGCAGCUUGGCAGAGUGGUGGCCCUGUAUCCACUUACCUCAAGUCCCUUCUCCAACAUCCUUUUCUCUAAAAAUCUGAGUUACAAGUCUGAUUUUAUUCUUUUCUUUGUCACCUUUUAAUCCCCUUCCCUGUAGAUUUGACCUCUGGUGUCCAAGCUGUGGGUCUUAGCCCCGAAACUCAGCUUGCAGUGCCCCAUGGACAUGUGUAUGCUUGUGCACCCCUGUGUGCAUUUAGGGGAGGGAUCUUUAGUACCCCAUUCUGGGCGCUCUGAUGCAGUGUGGGUGUGCAGACCUGGUGCCUUCUUGAGUAGAGCUCUAAAUACAGCCAGUGCUGAGCACUGCACUGUGACUACAGUAAACUCAUGCCUCCAUCUCUGGGGAAAGAGCAAGGCAGAGCGGUAUCAGUUUAGCCACCAUGGCAAAUUUUCAUUCUCAGCAGAUCCAUGUUCCUGGCUCUGCCCCCAGAGGUGUCAGGGAUGUGUAGAAGGGAAUGGGGAUCUGCUUGGUUGAUCCUUCAGUGUACUCUGCCUCUCAGAGGUCUGACCUAGGGUGGCUGGGGGCAAGGAGAGAAAAGGUGAGCUUUGGGACCAUCACAGGAUUGGCCCUGAUUCUGGUAUGAUGUAAUAACUGUUCCUGAUCUCUAGUCACCAGAUGUGUACCUAUUGCUUUUAGCUUUGUCCUUCACAAUGCUACACAGUAGCUUACUUCACAGAUGAAGAAACCUCUCAGAGUAGAUGAAGAGUGGUAGUCUACAUCAAACCUAGUGCUGUUGGCUAUAAACCCACCCCUCCCCUGCUCCUCCAUUUCUUCCAAAUGCUGUUAGUUCUCUACCUCACAGCAAGCCUUGUUCCCCAGGCAGUGUGCAGGCAGGCUCAGGCAAGAGAGUGUGGAAGGGUGAGAGGCUUGGGGGUUCCAGCUAGAGACCUGGAAAAGCUGCGUGGAAAGCAUCUUCACAGUCGAAGGGUUCUAGGGAAACCAGAGUAAGCACUGACUCUACUGGGGAAAGGGUGCUCUGUGCUCUUGAGUGUCGGUCCCAUAGCUCUCCUCAGUGCCUCUGCAUGCCAAGAGGUAGCUCUAGGUCACUUGAUUCAUGUUCCGCUGGGCCACUUCCUCCUGGGGAUGUCUUGCAGGAUCUCACCUAGGUUAGGGCUAUUGAGGCUCCAUUUCUACUUGCAACAGCGAAAGCGUCACUACAGUGUCUGCCCAUUCUAGCCAGCAGCAUGGGAGUCAGACGUGCCAAGGAAGGUGGAGAUUUGGGCUUGUCCAGGGGUCAGCCAUGUUGCAAGCCCUCAUGUUUAUAGCAGCAGUACAGUGAAAACUACUGUUUUGUGAAGUCAAAUAUUUGCUGGGGGGUUGGAGUUAUGGGGUGGAGGAGGGGCUGUUCUGGGCAUCAGUUGAGCAGAUGCCCAGGAUGCCUGGGGGAGACCAGCUUCCCCUACAAAUCAGAGCUCUAAAUUACAAGGUUUUUACCAACGCGAACAGUUGGGGGAAGUCGUCUGCUCUCAUUUGCGUAAUGGUUUCUGUCACUGGUGAUUAGACACAGGAUGAAGGAAAAGAAAUUUGACAAUUAGGAAUGAGCCAUCAUUAAUCUGAAUCUGUUAGGAGACAGAGAAGGGAAGGAUCCUUACUAGUGGGCCAGCCCAGUAUGGGGAGACACUCCCUAUCUCUGACCCCAGAAUCUUCUGGGCCAAGUACCCUUUUGGGGUUCCCACAAGUGUGGGUAGAGUUUGCAUGCCUUCAUAGACUAGGAGUCCAGUCCCAGCUUGAGAUGGAUUUGCAAACAGACAUCUUUCUGCAUGAGCCAGUGAAGUUAUUGUAGAUAAGUAAGUGGUGGGCACAAGCCCUGGGACAGUAGCAGUAGGCUAGUUGUGAUGUGUGCUUAGUUACAGGAAGUGUUUCUGUAGUAGUCGACACUGUUGCGCUCCACCUGUGGCAAGGUUCUGUCACUUCCCAGCACUUGACCUUGUGCGAGAAACCUGAUCUUUAUCAAACCCCAGACACUAGUGGAAGUUGGAAAGGAAACCAUAUGAAGAGUAGCAGAGCCUAGGUGUGUGUAAGGAGGGGCUGUGAGGAAGAGCAGUGCACACAGGCUGUCAGGAGGAGACUCAUCCUCAAGCCUCAGCAUUGACUUACUCUGGAUCAGUGGGCCAUUGCUGUGGGGAGCAUUGAGGUUCCUGGCUCAGUGAGUGACCCAGUGAUGUGUGGAGAAUCCAACUUAGAUCUUCCAGUGUUUGAGACUUACCUCACCACUCACCCCGUCCCUUCAAAAGCCUACGAGUAUUAAUCUGUACCAAGUAGUAGUCCUUACCAUUAGUGUGUUCCUUAGACCCCAGGCCCCUCAAGGCUUGGGGGAGGGGCUCCUCUGUCUCCUUUCCUGAUGUGAACUUGUCAAGGAUGGUGCUAUCUCAGUCCUUGGUAAGUCCCUACCUCUGUUGUCGUUCAUCCACCAGACUUGGUGCAGAAUUUAGCAAGGGCUACCAGCAGGGACCCUCUGCCAGUUUUACCUAGAUGGGCAGGUUGGGGAUGGUAGAAGUAGUCAGGGUUCUGGAGGCCCAGGCCUUUCCAGUUCCUCUUCCUCUUGGUGUCCUCUUAACCCAUCUCUUAAGUGGAUCCUUGAGCUUUCUCCUACCCAGGCUCUCAGUGGCUUCUUUACCAAGGCUCUUCUCCUCAAAGAAGCUCUCUGGUUCCAAGUGCUGGACAGCUUGGCUGGAGGAUCCCUCUCCACUGGGCUUCUCCCUGUCCCUGCUUCACCUCUGACCUCAGGUAGCUCUGUUGCCCUGUGUCCUCCUCUGCCCUCACCAUCCAUUGUCUUUCCGUGCUGGUUCACUGUCUCCCUCUGGCGGCUCCUCCUUCAGCCAGCUCUGUUUAGUUAGAGACACAUAGGGAGCCCAGUUGAGCAGAAACUUUUGGGAUGUUUCCGGAGGAACAGGCUCAGAAACUGGUGUCCUCGAGGUCCAUGGGCCUGAGAUUACUGAUGCCUUGGAGACAACUGGGGAGGGACCUGGAGAGUGAAGGACUUAGUGAGGAGACAGAGAGGCCAGGCUUGGGAGACUAGGGUGGCAGGAGCCAGCUCUGUGUUUCCAUCUGAGUGUGUCCUCGUGCCUUAGGGUCCAGCAGUUCAGGGAUGAGGGAUGUUUUCUGAAUGUCUCCUAAUUUCUCUCAGGUCUUUGGCUCAGUGUCACCAAAUUUGACAGACCCCUACAUUCCUGAGCUUUCUAGAAGGGAAGCAGCAUGUUGAGUAGUCUGGUGUCAAGAGUGGAGGCCUCCGGUGAGAAAGGGUGGAUGGUAGAGGCCAAGGAGAGGCCCCAGGGGUCAGCUUGUCCCCAUGACUCCAUUCCUCCAAGAGAAUAAGUUCUAUAGUUGAUUCAAGAAGUUAUUCUAAAACUGCCCACCCUCCUCACCUAAAAUCUGUUCUCAUUUUGGGAAGGAAUAUGUGUCCUUAAUUUUCAAGGGAAAAGUCUAGUGUUUAAAAGCAUGUGUCUGGGGUCUAGUCCCUUUGGUACAUUUCUAGCUUGCUACUUACCAGCUGGGUUUGACAUUGGUUGAUUCUUUUAACCUGAGUCUCAGUUUCCUUUACUAUAAUGACUUGUGGGGGUGGGGGUUUGAAAAUAUCUACCUCAGGGUUGCUGGAUUAACUGAAAUAAUGUCUGUAAAGCUUUAGCACAGUGCCUGGCAAGCACUUAAUAAAUGGCUGUGGUGGUGGUUUAUA
rnacentral:lncRNA from 1 species